AGCGAACGCUGGCGGCAGGCUUAACACAUGCAAGUCGAGCGCUCGUAGCAAUACGGGAGCGGCAGACGGGUGAGUAACACGUGGGAACGUACCUUUUGGUUCGGAACAACACAGGGAAACUUGUGCUAAUACCGGAUAAGCCCUUACGGGGAAAGAUUUAUCGCCAAAAAGAUCGGCCCGCGUCUGAUUAGCUUGUUGGUGAGGUAACGGCUCACCAAGGCGACGAUCAGUAGCUGGUCGAGAGGAUGAUCAGCCACAUUGGGACUGAGACACGGCCCAAAACUCCUACGGGAGGCAGCAGUGGGGAAUAUUGGACAAUGGGCGCAAGCCUGACU
rnacentral:rRNA from 1 species